UGGUUUAAUUCGACGCAACGCGAAGAACCUUACCAGGGCUUGACAUCCCCUGACCGCGUAUGAAAGUACGUUUUCACCCUCGGGUGACAGGGAGACAGGUGGUGCAUGGUUGUCGUCAGCUCGUGUCGUGAGAUGUUGGGUUAAGUCCCGCAACGAGCGCAACCCUUGCUAUUAGUUGCUAACAGGUAGAGCUGAGCACUCUAAUGGGACUGCCCGUGACAAGCGGGAGGAAGGUGGGGAUGACGUCAAAUCAUCAUGCCCUUUAUGAUCUGGGCUACACACGUGCUACAAUGGAUGGUACAGAGAGCAGCGAGGCCGCGAGGUGGAGCGAAUCUCAAAAAGCCAUUCUCAGUUCGGAUUGCAGUCUGCAACUCGACUGCAUGAAGUCGGAAUCGCUAGUAAUCGCGAAUCAGCACGUCGCGGUGAAUGCGUUCCCGGGCCUU
rnacentral:rRNA from 1 species